rnacentral:lncRNA from 1 species
UUGGUAUUUUGUUUCCUUUGUUCGGAUUAUUAUUAACGUUAUUUAUACUGGAAUUUCUAAUGCACUAAUGCUAUACUGCUUCUGUUUUGUUUUGUCUAUAUUUUGUUUUACUACUGUUUUUCCCUAACCCUAUGAGCCGAGGGUCGAUUGGAAACAGCCUCCCUGCCCUUUAGGUAGGGGUAAGGCUCGUCUACAUAUUACCCUCCCCAGACCCCACCUG